AGUGAACGCUGGCGGCAGGCCUAACACAUGCAAGUCGAGCGGAUGAAGGGAGCUUGCUCCUGGAUUCAGCGGCGGACGGGUGAGUAAUGCCUAGGAAUCUGCCUGGUAGUGGGUGAUAACGUCCGGAAACGGGCGCUAAUACCGCAUACGUCCUGAGGGAGAAAGGGUGGGAUCUUCGGACCUCACGCUAUCAGAUGAGCCUAGGUCGGAUUAGCUAGUUGGUGGGGUAAAGGCCUACCAAGGCGACGAUCCGUAACUGGUCUGAGAGGAUGAUCAGUCACACUGGAACUGAGACACGGUCCAGACUCCUACGGGAGGCAGCAGUGGGGAAUAUUGGACAAUGGGCGAAAGCCUGAUCCAGCCAUGCCGCGUGUGUGAAGAAGGUCUUCGGAUUGUAAAGCCCUUUAAGUUGGGAGGAAGGGCAGUAAGUUAAUACCUUGCUGUUUUGACGUUACCAACAGAAUAAGCACCGGCUAACUUCGUG
rnacentral:rRNA from 1 species